UUCUGCUUGACCUGUCUUGGGUUUUUCCUUCAGGAGACUGACUUGUGGGGUGUAGAGGGGCUGAGAAUUCAGAAGUCAUCUACAAAAGGAAGAAAUAAGCUCCGAAUCACAGCAUAGCUUGAGCAGAGAGGCAUACAGCCCUUUGGUAUGGAUCAGCAAGGACGUAUGUUUUACAGUUUCAAAGUUGAAUAAUUAAUGGAGUUUCUGCCUCCUAACUUUGUAGUACAAACUGGUGAAUCAUCAGAGAUCUUUUCAGUGUUACCUUUAGGGAAAC